GAAUUCCAAAAACAAAUCUUCCCCCUUGUGACAGCCUGGUCUCAUAGACUAGACGUAACAUAGUAAAAGUAAUUCCAGGGCUCUAAUCCGUAUGAUAUGUUACCUUGGGUAUGGUUACGGCAGGGUAGCCUAGUGGUUAGAGCGUUGGACUAGUAACCGGAAGUUCAAAUCCCCGAGCUGACAAGGUACAAAUCUGUCGUUCUGCCCCUGAACAGGCAGUUAACCCACUGUUCCUAGGCCGUCAUUGAAAAUAAGAAUUUGUUCUUAACUGACUUGCCUAGUUAAAUAAAGGUUAAAUAAAUAAAAUAAAAAACAUAAGACAGAAGGUUAUUAAGGCAAAACCCCAAAUGUUGCGUGUUCGAAUCUCAUCAUGGACAACUUUAGCAUUUUAGCCAAUUAGCAACAUUGCAACUACCUUUUAAUUGAACUCCUAAUCUUAACCCUAACCCCUAGCCUAUCUAAUGUUAUCCACCUAGCUAACAUUAGCUUUAGCCACCUAGCCAACGUUACCCACCUAGCUAACAUUAGCUUUAGCCACCUAGCCAAUGUUAGCCACCUAGCCAAUGUUAGCCACCUAGCCAACGUUAGCCACCUAGCCAAUGUUAGCCACCUAGCCAACGUUAGCCACAACAAAUUGGAAUUCGUAACAUAUCAUACAUUUCGAAAAUUCCAGCUGUGCUGGGUGGAGAUGAGAGUACAUGGCCAUUAAGUCCAGAUCGUUCUUCAAGAUGUUCAAACGUUCAUAGAUGACCAGCAGGGUCAAAUAAUAAUCACAGUGCAGAGUUAAAAAGUAAGAACAUAACAAAGGAAACGGUAACACAAUAAAAUAACUGUUCAUUGUUGUCAUGACUUUGAAUGCAUACUGCCAAUCAUCAAUGUUCAUUAUGUCAGAAGUACCUGAUCUCACUGAUUACAACUUGGGACAUUGGAGGUGGUGGUGGUGGUGGAGUUGUUGGAGGUGGUGGUGGUGGUGGAGUUGUUGGAGGUGGUGGUGGUGGUAGAGUUGUUGGAGAAGGUGGUGGUGGUAGAGUUGUUGGAGAAGGUGGUGGUGGUAGAGUUGUUGGAGAAGGUGGUGGUGGUAGAGUUGUUGGAGAAGGUGGUGGUGGUAGAGUUGUUGGAGAAGGUGGUGGUGGUAGAGUUGUUGGAGAAGGUGGUGGUGGUAGAGUUGUUGGAGAAGGUCGUGGUGGUAGAGUUGUUGGAGGAAGUGGUGGUGGUAGAGUUGUUGUUGUUGGAGGAGGAAGUGGUGGUGGUAGAGUUGUUGGAG